UCAAAAUUAGUCACUUGUCAUUUUCUAAUUGGUUCUUAGUAUGUUCAAUUUUUUUAAAAAAACAAUUAGAAAAUGACGAGUUGCUAGUUUUGG
rnacentral:pre_miRNA from 1 species